CUACGGGUGGCUGCAGUGGGGAAUAUUGGACAAUGGGGGAAACCCUGAUCCAGCAAUGCCGCGUGUGUGAAGAAGGCCUGCGGGUUGUAAAGCACUUUCGGUUGGGAGGACUGCUUCUAGCACUAAUAUUGUUGGAAGUUGACGUUACCUUCAGAAGAAGCACCGGCUAACUCCGUGCCAGCAGCCGCAGUAAUACGGAGGGUGCAAGCGUUAAUCGGAAUUACUGGGCGUAAAGCGCGCGUAGGCGGCUAGAUCAGUCGGGUGUGAAAGCCCCGGGCUUAACCUGGGAACUGCAUCCGAUACUGUCUAGCUUGAGUACAGGAGAGGAGAGUAGAAUUCCACAUGUAGCGGUGAAAUGCGUAGAUAUGUGGAGGAACACCAAUGGCGAAGGCAGCUCUCUGGCCUGAUACUGACGCUGAGGUGCGAAAGCGUGGGGAGCAAACAGGAUUAGAUACCCUUGUAGUC
rnacentral:rRNA from 1 species